AGUUACACUAGAAAAAAAUCAUGGAACACAAAUUGCAAAUAGUUGUACCUGCUUUAAAGUUCAUUAACUUCUCCAGUGAGCUUUUGGAUAAAGCUAGAAUUUUAUAAUAAAAUUCUUAGUUUCAUUUCUGUCUGUCUGAUAUUUUUUUCUCCUAGAGAUAGAGAGGAAACAGACUUGAUCCUGUAAAACCUUUUUCCUGUUCUACAGUGGUACAGAACAGAUACUUCUGAAAGAAUAAUACCAGAACCAGAAUAAUGAAUACACCAAUAUACGGGGUAUUUAUUGAGGUUUUUUGAAGAACUCAAAUCCCAGCUUUGAACCCCAACAAUGUGAAAUAGAAAUUUAAAUGUAACAUUUCUCACAUCCAAACAGGUGUGCUGAACUUGGUCUGUAAUGUGUGUCUUUCUUAUAUGGGUCAGAGUGAGCAUUCAAUUGUACAUACAGAAGACACUACUCCCACACUACUGAGGUCAGGAACUUAUGUGGAGCCUUAGGUUCAAUUCCCUGUGCCAAGCCUUGUCAUACAUGCAAUUUGCACUUUCAUCUGUCUUAUCAUUGAUGCUACAGAUUGUCAGUGUAUUCUGAAAUUAAGGCCUCUCCCUUUUGGUUUGAUCAGAAAAUCUUCCUUGAACCUGAGUAACCUUUCUUAGCAAAAAUUUAUUUUUCUUCAAGAAAUUUCAAUAACCUGGCACUUCCCAAGAGCAAAGGUAUUUCUGUAAGAAUUUUUUUAUAAUUUCCUAAGUCAAGUUGGUCCUGAUCAGUUUUCUCUUCACAGCUGGUUCCUUAGUGUCUUCAGUUCUAACUUUGUCAUUUAGUAGUAUUUUCUAACUUUGUAAUUUAGUAGUAAUAGAUGCUAUUUUUUUUUCUCCUGAAGCCUAGGAUAAAGUUAUUGCAGAAAAGAAACUUUCAAGUGCUGCAUGGAUUUUAGAGUUCUGUGCUCUAUUCCCUCCUCUCUGAAACUCUGUUCUGUCCAUGCUUCCCAAGGGUUCUUGUUUGUAUGCCUGCAGCAUCUUUGUGAAACAUGAAAGUGCUACUCUUCCCAUUCUGCAAAUGGAGAAAUGAAAUAAAGAACUUCAGCAAGUACUUUUAUUGUAGGUGAAACCAGCAGAGGUGAUCACUGACCUCAUGAGUCGGGUAAUCACCUCCAUGCAAUGAUAUGUGAACACACCAGCACUGACUGGUUCAUACAGGUGCAGCAGUGCUGUGCCAUGUGUGUUCCCUGGCUUGAGAAUCUGCAGCUCAGAGCACUCUGCAUUGUUCUCUGCUGUGAGGUGGAAUAUGCCCUGAAUGACUUGUCCAAGAUCACACAGGAAGACACUGGCAGAACAGGAACAUAAUGUAUCCUAUGGAACAUACUUGAUGACACACAGUGACAUCUGUUCAUACAGAGGAGAGAUUUCAUCACUGCAGAUCUUGGAGCUCCCAGUUGAUUUCUCAGCUUUCAGUGCACAAGUCUUUGAACUGAACUAGUUGAAUAGACUAAAACAUCUCCCUGUACUAAGACAAAAGACUCCUGUUGUCAAAAUAAGGUUCCUGUUUUAACAAGCCAUGAAUCUAGAAGUUUGGACAGUGGGUUAUAUGGAUUUAAUGGUUUGAU